UACAUGGGGUGCAAACGUUGCUCGGAAUUAUUGGGCGUAAAGCGCGCGUAGGCGGUUACUCAAGUCGGAUGUGAAAGCCCCCGGCUUAACUGAGGAAGUGCACCCGAAACUGAGUAGCUAGAGUACUAAAGAGGGUCGCGGAAUUCCCGGUGUAGAGGUGAAAUUCGUAGAUAUCGGGAGGAACACCGGUGGCGAAGGCGGCGACCUGGGUCGAUACUGACGCUGAGGCGCGAAAGCGUGGGGAGCAAACAGG
rnacentral:rRNA from 1 species